rnacentral:lncRNA from 1 species
CCGGCGGCCGGAGCAGCAGCAGCAGUAGCAGCGCCGGGAGACCGAGGGUCCGGCAGCCGCGCGCCCGCCGCGGGGCCAUGGCGGCAGCUCCACAGGACACCGCUGGACUCCCCGGGCGAGCGCUGCCCAGGCCGGGGGGAGGUGGCGAGCGCUGCUCUGGGACCUGCCGCCCCGCCAGUCGCAUUCGCUUUCGCUUUUGCUUUGGCCCCCGAGGGCUCGGAGAGGUGCAAAGCGGUGACAGAUCCGUGACUCAGCGUCCCCACCCCUGCUGGGGAAGGAGCCCCGCCGGCCGCCGCGGCACCGCACAGCCACCCCUGUCCCCGGGACGCAUGGGCCGUGCCCGGUGGGGACCCAGGACCUUACCCACGCAAGCCCGGGAGCCUCCCGGUCCUCCGCGCUCGUCGUGCUCUGGGACCUCCAGUGUGCACUCGGUCCGGUGUCCCCACUGCGAAGAGAGUGGGCAAAGUCAUCGGAGAGCAGACUCUCUCCAGCCCUCUCUGCGGCUCGGAUCCACUUGACCUCGCCCGGCGCUGGUCGCCUCCAGCUGCUCCGCCUUCGGCUUUCCUGGUCUCCCUCCGCGGCCCUGCGCUCGGUUGUGAGCGGCCGGCCUGGGUGAGUGCCCGCGGAGGUGUCGCCGCGGUGCGGAGGCGCGGGCACCUGCCUGGUGCGCUCUGGCCCGGGCGGAGCGCAGCCCCCGCCACCUGCUGGCUCCCGCGGCCCCCGGCGCCCGCUGGGGCCCCAGCUCCGCCACUUCGCCGAAUUCCUGCUGCAGCUUUGCUCCCCUAGAAAAUGCCUCAUCUUAGAAGGAGAGGGGGCGGAGGGGGGAGAAGGGGGAGAGGAGCCACAGUGCUUCACCUCUGAGCCUCGCUUCCUUAGGUUCUUCCAGGCUGCCAUCCUCCUCUUUGGCUGGUGGGUUUUUUUCUUUCUUGGGGUCUCAAGUGAAGCCUGAGAACCGGGUCUGUAAGCUCCCAAGUGCAGAUUCUCAGGUCUAGCGGUGACAUUGGACAGGACGAGACAUCUCCAAGCCUCGGUCAUUGCCUCUUAAAAUCUCACAACGUGUUUAUGAGGCUUUUGUGACAUACUUGCAAAUUCUCUUUGAAAACGAAAUAAUCUGUACAAUAAUCCCCCAAGACACAGGUUUACCUUUAUAACAAACCUGCACUUAUAACCCUGAACUUAAAAGUUAAAUAAAAGAAUUUAGGGCCGAGCGCGGUGGCCACUCCUGAAAUCCAAGCACUUUCGGAGGCCAAGGCAGGUGGAUCGCCUGAAGUCAGGAAUUCGAGACUAGCCUGGCCAACAUGGUGAAACCCCAUCUCUACUAAAAAUACCAAAAUUAGCUGGGCAUGGUGGCGGGCGCCUGUAAUCCCAGCUAUUCAGGAGGCUGAGGCAGGAGAAUCACUUGAACCCAGGAGGCUGAGGUUGCAGUGAGCUGAGAUCGCACCACUGCACUCCAGCCUGGGCAACACAGCCAGUUCCUGUCUCUUAAAUUUAAAAAAAAAAAGUAGAAAGAAUAAUGAACCUACCAUCCGGCAGUGACCACACAAGGUCCAUUCUUUUUUUCUAAGCAGGAAUAGCCACCCUUACUCCAACUGGGGAAAUCCCACAUUAUUCAAUUUCUCUCAAUACUUAAUAAUAAAUCUCAAGAUGAUAAGAUCAAAUUUAAAAAUUAACAAUAUUCCUUAAUAUUCUCAAAUAUAUUGAGGGUUUAUUGAAUGCAGGCUAAGCAUAGCAUGUAUACAAUAGAGCAUUUUUUAUUCUAUGGACAUUUAUGAAGUAGAGAUUUCUCCAUUAUUACAGACUCUUUGUAAAAGUUUUUAAUGGCUGCAAAUUAUCAUAGUUUAACAUCCCCUCUAUUAUUUUAAUAUUAAAGAUAACAUUGUCAUAAAUGUCUUUCUACAAAAUCUUGUGAAUUUAAGAUCGCUUAGAAUAGAUUUCCUACAGUGGAACUAUUGAGUCAACUGGUAGGGAAUAUUUUUAAAGGCUUUUUCUCUUUUAAACAAAUAUUUCUAUCUUGCUUUCCAAAAGUCUUGUAUCAAUAUACCUUCUAACUAGCAUUGAUUGUGUUAAAGUACCCAUUUUACUGCAUUCUGACCAAAAGUAAAUUUUAAAAUUUGAAAAUAAAAUUGUAAAUUUGGUAUGCUUAAAGAACUCUAUUUCAUUACAUAUAUAUACGUUGUUAAAUAAUGUAAAUUUCAAAUAUACUUCGAACUAUAGCAAUCAAUAAAUAUAGUGGAUAUCCAUGAGCCUACUGCCUCAUCCUGUCAAAACUUAAUAUGUCUGCUCAAUGUUUGCUUCAGAUAUUUUU